rnacentral:rRNA from 1 species
CGGACGGGUGAGUAACGCGUGGGUAACCUACCCUGUACACACGGAUAACAUACCGAAAGGUAUGCUAAUACGGGAUAAUAUAUUUGAGAGGCAUCUCUUGAAUAUCAAAGGUGAGCCAGUACAGGAUGGACCCGCGUCUGAUUAGCUAGUUGGUAAGGUAACGGCUUACCAAGGCGACGAUCAGUAGCCGACCUGAGAGGGUGAUCGGCCACAUUGGAACUGAGACACGGUCCAA